rnacentral:tRNA from 1 species
CGGCGUGUAGCUCAGCAGCAGAGCACCGGGCUUCAGACCCGGGGGGCGCAGGGGCGGAACCUGCCACGCCGGCC